GAGGAAACUAGGGGAGGCCCGGACCGUAGAGGUAGAGAGAGGGGGAGUGGUGUAGAAGAAGUGGAGGCCGGCGGCGGUGCCGGUCCGACCGCACCACCACGCGGAGACGCGGUAGGUAGUGGUCGUGGUGGCAUGGGAUCGCGCGGUGGUUGUGGAGGUGGUAGUGGAGGUGGUAGUGGGACACGGAGGUAAGUGGUGGUAGGUGUCGCGGCGGAGUAGUGGAGUGCGGCGGCGGGUACGUAGAGGGACGGUGAGGAGGUGGAAAGAAGAAGAGGAUUGAGACGACGACGGGAAGAUGAAGAAGAAGGGCGUAGGGGCGACGAGAAGAACAACGUGGGGACGACGAGGAGGAAGAGGAGAGAGGUUCGGGGCGACGACGAGGGAAGCGGAUGGAACGACGAGGGACGGAGAAGAGACUUGGAAAACGACGACGAGGAAGGGGUGCUUGGACGAUGACGAGGAAAGAGUUGCGAGGACGACGAAGAAGAGAGGGUGUGGAGAACGAAAACGAGAAGAGACUUGGUUUUGAUAACAAAGAAAGAGAAUGGGGCGACGACAAGAGAGGGAGAUGAUUAGAACUACGUCUAACAGAGGUUGAGCGGAGGGACGACUAGAAGAGGUAGUGGAUGUGGUAGAUGUCGAUGUUCGGAUUUCUAACUGGCUCUUAAUUAGAGACUUAGAGAGAGAAGAGAACGAUGACAUGAGAGUUAAAAACAUGACAAGAUGAUUCAACAAACAAGUCAAAGUCUAAAAACGAACACAUCACAAUUUAGACAGUAUACACUUAACAAGACCCCGUACACUGAGGGACAAGAACAUACUCAAUUAAUCAAUUUAACCAGUGAACUCAUGAUGUGAACAACGCAUCAGCACAACCAAGUUAAAAUCAAUGACACAACGAGUUCAUGGACACUAUAUACUUAUACACGCAAACUCACGCUACACUUUGUUAACAUAAUACAGGUAUUAGAACAAAGAAGGGACACAGAACAUGCAUGAUCAAUAUAUAUGCAUACACACAAGAUCAGAACAAUUAAGAGAAACAAGUCUUACAGACGGAUACAUCAAAGAUUAAAGAGUUCGAAUUCUUUUAUGGUUUUUCUGCUAAUCAUUUUAGACUUAAAGAGGAACAACAAAUGCGAAAGAAACAGGAGUUGGGACAGAUCAAAUCCGAUAAUAAAAGAACGUUAGGAGAGAAUUUUAAGACAGUGGAUCGAAAUCGACUCGUAGCAACGGUAACGGACCAGGGACUCCUCUUGUGCUGUAGGGGUCAAACCCGUACUUUUUGGGUGACAUGAAUGGUAGCUAGUAAAACCGCGGCAACGGCCCCUGAUCUCAGCACGCUGGCACAAUCCGAUAUCUGAUCCAAAAAGAACAAAAAGGGAAACACGAUCUAUAUACACUAUAUAGAGAUUGGGGAUUGGGAACAAGUUCAAUAAAAGAGAAAGAAACGAACCAGUAAGACGUCCAAUAACGUAGAAGAGUCUAUACCGAAUGAUAAAUCUAAUAGUACGAAAACAGCUCGUUGUGAUGUUUGUUGUGCCUUUCAUAAGUUCUGAACUAUUCAUUCUAAAGGGUAGCUAAUCUACUAAAUCGAGUCAUCGCUCUUUAUCAAAAACUCCUAUCCGGAUCGAGAAUACUAGGAAUAAGAUCUCCGAUAGGAAUACAACGAGGAUGGAUGGUAUAAAAACCUAAAGUCCCGGUAAGUGGGCGACUUACAGUCGCACCAAUGAGAGUGGGAGGGCUAACAAUACCGUACUCGAAGCGGGUUGUCGGAUCGAGUAUGGUUUUGUUAAUGAGUAUACCCACGGACUUUUGGUCUUAUACAGUAUAUCCUCGUUGUUGGGACUCUAGAGUAGUAAACGGAGAUCAAUAGGUUACGUCCCUAAAUCCAUGUUACUGCUCUCGUUGUUGAUACGUGGUGUUGUUACGCUAAGUGGAGGAUGAGUAUAUGGAGUUGUGGUCCUCUACAACGGUUACCUCAAUUUACCAGGAGCUAAACCAGUUGGUUGUGGAAGUUGUGUUCACGGGUGUGUUCUACUAAAACUACUAUAUCUGUUCGAGUGUAACGAAUCAGAGCUCAAGUAAACCUCACAACUUCUACUAGGUUACUCCGGCCACUAUGAUCUCCUUUACUUCCUCUAGUUCUCACCUUUUCUCGAUCACCUUCUUCAUUCCUUCUAACUCUUCUUGUAGUUGCGACCAUCAUGAUAGAGGAGGGAGGAACUCGGCUCACAACGGCUCUAAGGGGAACUAUGUACACUCCAAGGUUAUGGCAGUGUAGGUCGACUCGUUCUAUCAUUCGUAGGUCUCCUUCUUUCUGGAGUCUAACUUCUUCUUUAUGAACUUCUGUUCCUUGUUCUACUAGGUCUCGAGCUUGUUGUUUCACUAGUUCAACUUCUGAGUAGUAGAUAAUGAGAACUUCUUCGUUUUCUUCAACUACACUAACUUCUACUUCUUGGUCUUUACGUAAACGGGUAGCAGGAUGUCCUCGCACUAAAUCGUCCAAAUAGGUUAGGAGAACUACUGUACGAAGGAAUACUCUAGAAACAACAAUGAAACGUAACGUAAUAUGGUAGUUAAUUCGAUCUAAACUUUUUAAUAAACGAACCUGUACUAGUAUGUAUGUGAAAACCACCGUAACGAGAGUAAGGGCUACUACUGUGAAUAAAAGGAAUACGAUCAGGAUACGAAUUACUUUGUAUAAUAAGGGUAUGAUCAGAACUCGAAUUACUAUUUAAAGUAGGAGUACAAUCACAGCUGGAACGACUAAAGAUGGUAGGAUUUUGUACACGAAAUAUCGAUACGAAUACAUUAACCUAUAAGCUAACUACUGAACCUCCCAUAAUAGGGAUGGUGAACGUAACAGAGAAACCAACUCACGGAAAAGUCAAAAAACGAACACGUGCUUAGUUAUGUACAACUGGUCCAAGUUCCACUGUAAGGAACCCUGGGACCACCUGAGUCUCGUACCCCUACUCCUCUUCGUUCCCCCGUGUGUGCUUCUUCUCACUUCGAUCUCGUAGGUACUCCUUCGUUUUCCUCUUCUCGACGUCGAAUCUCUCACUAGUUCGCUCACGAUGUAGUAGUUUCGGGCCACUCGAUAAAGUACUGGGUAAGGCUCAUAUAGUAGGUAAAUAUGUACGACUUUAGUUUACAAUAAACCCAACGAAUAAUUAGGUAAAGAAUUUACAACGGGGUGACUUAAAAUAAACUGUAUACCACGAAGUACUCUUAUACGCUUGGCUAACAACUUACGGUACAUUUGAUCACUAGAUGUAUAACGCACGAAACGACUUUAAUCACUCUUGAUAAUCAAAACUCACGAGUUCAGGGUUCAUGUGAUCUUUUGAAUUAGUAAAAGACGAAAAUGGAGCUAUGUGGAUCUAGUAAUUCACAGUCUACGACUCAAACACGGAUUACACAAGGGUAAGUCUCGUUAGUGAAUGGUGAUACCUAAUCGUACGAUACAAGAGACCUAGCCAUCGUACACUUGUUCUGGAUCAACUCACUACUAAGAACACAAACAAGUAAUUUUAUCCGUAUAGAAUAUCACAUAUUAAUAGACUAGAUGGAUUGUCAUCGUACAGUACAAGGGACCUAGCCACAGAACACUUUAGACCAAACUAGCCUAUCCUCAAUUAAUAUAAUUUUUUACAUUAACAACUUGGUCCACAUAUGGUACAAGAGCCCUAGCCACCAUACAAGGAAACCCCUCUGUUUGAUUUUUUUAUGGUUAUUAACCAGCUCGGUCCACAUAUGGUACAAGAACCCUAGCCACCAUACAAGGAUACCACUCUCAUUAUUUUUAUUAGUAACGAAAUAAAGUCAUUUAUUCACUAAACUAGUGUUCUAAAUUAAGUUCAAGGAAAACAAGAGUUCUAGUACAAGAGAAAUCCUUGGAAACCGUAUUAGUCGUAAACUUGAACGAUUAGAAGAACGUAGUAACAUUUUCAACUUUUACUAGAUUAUCAUAGGAUAACGAAACAUCGUGAGAAUUGGUAACUAAAAGUGAUCGAUUCAGGUUUCGUACGCUACAAACCUCUAGAUGAAAUGACCCUGUAAGAGAUCAGUCGAGUGACAAGUGGUAGAUCGAGAACAGUAAACGGAAAUGAACUCCUGUUCAUUUCUAAAUUCACACCCCCUUGAACUAUUCGUGUAAAGUAUGUGUAUUAAAACGUGAGUUUAUAUGAUAUAUAACACUAGACUGGUAGUUAGGAACGAUACUUGACAACGUAUACACUUGCUUUUAGUAAAUUUCUCUAGUAAAUGAACACUGAACAACGAAAACGUCUGUUCACGCUAUUCCGUGAUAUUAGCAGUUCUAAGGCAGGUACACCUAUAGCUCUACUCGUAUACUUUCUUCUCUUCCUUCUCCCUGAACUCACACUAUUUACAAUUUCGAAGUUCCCAGACGGAUUUCUUCUCGUCCUAGUUGAACACUUCCUCCUUCUAUUCAUCUUCCCGGUUUCUCGUUUCACCUGUUAGUCUAGCUCCCCAGUUUUAGGGAUCGGUAGAGGAAGCUAGGGGAGGCCCGGACCGUAGAGGUAGAGAGAGGGGGAGUGGUUUAGAAGAAGUGGAGGCCGGCGGCGGUGCCGGUCCGACCGCACCACCACGCGGAGACGCGGUAGGUAGUGGUCGUGGUGGCAUGGGGUCGCGCGGUGGUUGUGGAGGUGGUAGUGGGACGCGGAGGUAAGUGGUGGUAGGUGUCGCGGCGGAGUAGUGGAGCGCGGCGGCGGGUACGUAGAGGGACGGCGAGGAGGUGGAAAGAAGAAGAGGAUUGAGACAACGACGGGAAGAUGAAGAAGAAGGGCGUAGGGGCGACGAGAAGAACAACGCGGGGACGACGAGGAGGAAGAGGAGAGAGGUUCGGGGCGACGACGAGGGAAGCGGAUGGAACGACGAGGGACGGAGAAGAGACUUGGAAAACGAUGACGAGGAAGGGGGUGCUUGGACGAUGACGAGGAAAGAGUUGUGAGGACGACGAAGAAGAGAGGGUGUGGAGGACGAAAACGAGAAGAGACUUGGUUUUGACAACAAAGAAAGAGAAUGGGGCGACAACAAGAGAGGGAGAUGAUUAGAACUACGUCUAACAGAGGUUGAGCGGAGGGACGACUAGAAGAGGUAGUGGAUGUGGUAGAUGUCGAUGUUCGGAUUUCUAAUUGGCCCUUAAUUAGAGACUUAGAGAGAGAAGAGAACGAUGACAUGAGAUUUAAAAACAUGACAAGAUGAUUCAACAAACAAGUCAAAGUCUAAACACGAACACAUCACAAUUUAGACAGUAUACACUUAACAAGACCCCGUACACUGAGGGACAAGAACAUACUCAAUUAAUCAAUUUAACCAGUGAACUCAUGAUGUGAACAACGCAUCAGCACAACCAAGUUAAAAUCAAUGACACAACGAGUUCAUGGACACUAUAUACUUAUACACGCAAACUCACGCUACACUUUGUUAACAUAAUACAGGUAUCAGAACAAAGAAGGGACACAGAACAUGCAUGAUCAAUAUAUAUGCAUACACACAAGAUCAGAACAAUUAAGAGAAACAAGUCUUACAGACGGAUACAUCAAAGAUUAAAGAGUUCGAAUUCUUUUAUGGUUUUUCUGCUAAUCAUUUUAGACUUAAAGAGGAACAACAAAUGCGAAAGAAACAGGAGUUGGGACAGAUCAAAUCCGAUAAUAAAAGAACGUUAGGAGAGAAUUUUAAAACAGUGGAUCGAAAUCGACUCGUAGCAACGG
rnacentral:rRNA from 1 species